UACGGAGGGUGCGAGCGUUGUCCGGAAUCAUUGGGCGUAAAGGGCGCGUAGGUGGCCACUUCAAGCGUGCGGUGAAAGUCGGGGGGCUCAACCCCUGAUCGGCCGUGCGAACUGGGGGGCUGGAGCACUGUAGAGGCAGGCGGAAUUCCGGGUGUAGCGGUGGAAUGCGUAGAGAUCCGGAAGAACACCAGUGGCGAAGGCGGCCUGCUGGGCAGUUUUGCUGACACUGAGGCGCGACAGCGUGGGGAGCAAACAGG
rnacentral:rRNA from 1 species